rnacentral:rRNA from 1 species
AUUGCAGGCUGCAACCCGCCUGCAUGAAGUUGGAAUCGCUAGUAAUCGCGGAUCAGCAUGCCGCGGUGAAUACGUUCCCGGGCCUUGUACACACCGCCCGUCACACCAUGAGAGUCGGGAACACCCGAAGUCCGUAGCCUAACCGCAAGGGGGGCGCGGCCGAAGGUGGGUUCGAUAAUUGGGGUGAAGUCGUAACAAGGUAGC